rnacentral:rRNA from 1 species
UACGUAGGGCGCAAGCGUUGUCCGGAAUUAUUGGGCGUAAAGAGCUCGUAGGCGGUUUGUCGCGUCUGCUGUGAAAUCCCGAGGCUCAACCUCGGGCUUGCAGUGGGUACGGGCAGACUAGAGUGCGGUAGGGGAGACUGGAAUUCCUGGUGUAGCGGUGGAAUGCGCAGAUAUCAGGAGGAACACCGAUGGCGAAGGCAGGUCUCUGGGCCGCAACUGACGCUGGAGGAAGCGGAAAAGCAUGGGGAGCGAACAGG